GAUGAACGCUGGCGGCGUGCCUAAUACAUGCAAGUCGAGCGAACAGACGAGGAGCUUGCUCCUCUGACGUUAGCGGCGGACGGGUGAGUAACACGUGGAUAACCUACCUAUAAGACUGGGAUAACUUCGGGAAACCGGAGCUAAUACCGGAUAAUAUAUUGAACCGCAUGGUUCAAUAGUGAAAGACGGUUUUGCUGUCACUUAUAGAUGGAUCCGCGCCGCAUUAGCUAGUUGGUAAGGUAACGGCUUACCAAGGCAACGAUGCGUAGCCGACCUGAGAGGGUGAUCGGCCACACUGGAACUGAGACACGGUCCUGACUCCUACGGGAGGCAGCAGUAGGGAAUCUUACGCAAUGGGCGAAAGCCUGACGGAGCAACGCCGCGUGAGUGAUGAAGGUCUUCGGAUCGUAAAACUCUGUUAUUAGGGAAGAACAAAUGUGUAAGUAACUAUGCACGUCUUGACGGUACCUAAUCAGAAAGCCACGGCUAACUACGUG
rnacentral:rRNA from 1 species